CAUUGUCAAGAUCAAUCAUCCAUUUUGGUGGAUUAUGGUUUACACCUUAUCAACACCCAAGUUCCAUUGAUAUUGACUAGACUUGAUUGGAUCAACCAAGAAUCAAGGGUUUGUUGUGAGUCACAAGCAUGGAGUCUGGGUAAGAACCAUCCCAGAGGAGUGAAAUAAGGAUAAAAAAUUGUAGAUCAUGUUCUAAAAAGUUCCCAGAG
rnacentral:lncRNA from 1 species